CCCUAGUUAGCUCAGUUGGUAGAGCGCUCGACUGGAAAUGGAGGGGUCCCAGGUUCGACACCCGGACCAGGCG
rfam:Ixodes scapularis strain Wikel colony gcontig_1108379183602, whole genome shotgun sequence.